rnacentral:lncRNA from 1 species
CCUUAGUUCCAUGAUUGCUCCUUGUGAAAGAUUGAAUUCUGUAGAUUAUCCAUGAUGUUUGUAAUUAAAUAUUUAAUUCAUUAACGAUUUUGUCCUAUUAUGCCGAUCAUUUACACUCAUUUCAUUAAAUGCAUCACUUGACUAUCACAUUUUCAAGGAAUGUGACUACUGACCUAGCUAUGCAAAUGACCCACGUUGACAUCACGCCAUCUAUGACGUAACUCUCACAACAUUGAGCGCCAAAUUUGACUCAAUUCAGUUUCUUUGUCUCCGUAUGAAAAACGUCUU